rnacentral:rRNA from 1 species
AUUGAACGCUGGCGGCAUGCCUUACACAUGCAAGUCGAACGGCAGCACGGGGGCAACCCUGGUGGCGAGUGGCGAACGGGUGAGUAAUGCAUCGGAACGUGCCCAGUAGUGGGGGACAACCAGUCGAAAGAUUGGCUAAUACCGCAUACGACCUAUGGGUGAAAGCGGGGGACCGUAAGGCCUCGCGCUAUUGGAGCGGCCGAUGUCUGAUUAGCUAGUUGGUGAGGUAAAAGCUCACCAAGGCGACGAUCAGUAGCUGGUCUGAGAGGACGACCAGCCACACGGGGACGGAGACACGGCCCAGACUCCUACGGGAGGCAGCAGUGGGGAAUUUUGGACAAUGGGCGCAAGCCUGAUCCAGCCAUGCCGCGUGCGGGAAGAAGGCCUUCGGGUUGUAAACCGCUUUUGGCAGGAACGAAACGGCGACUCUUAAUACGGGUCGUUAAUGACGGUACCCGCAGAAUAAGCACCGGCUAACUACGUGCCAGCAGCCGCAGUAACAC